GAUGUUUUAGGGUUUUAAUUUGAAGGUUUAGGGUUUAGGGUUUAGAGUUGAUGUUUCGGGGUUUAGGGUUUAGAGUUGAUGUUUCAUGGUUUAUGGUUUAGAGUUGAUGAUUUAGGGUUUAAAGUUGAUGUUUUAAGUUUAGAUUUAGGGUUUAGGGUUUACGUUUAGGGUUUGGGUUUAGAUUUGAAGUUUUAGGGUUUAAGGUUUAGAGUUGAUGUUUCAGGGUUUGAGGUUUAGAGUUGGUGUUUCAUGGUUUAGGGUUUAGAGUUCAUGGUUUAGGGUUUAGAGUUGAUGUUUUAAGUUUAGAUUAGUUAACCGUAUGUUUUUUUCUUUCAAAAGUGGUCAAAACGUUAUAAAUGUCUUUUACCCCUCAUUAAAGAUGAAGGUAAAAGUGGUUAGUGUAAACAUGAAAAGUGGUACUU
rnacentral:lncRNA from 1 species